CGCCAACACUUGCUGAUGAAUGUAUGCACUUUGUCAUGUAUAUACUUUAAAUUCAUUGUGCAAAGGCUUGUCUUAUCAGCUGACCCCUUGCUGUGUUCAUUGGAAGUAAGAUACAGCUGUCAUGAAACAUUGAAAACAUGGCAGACUGAAGAGUAGGGGACAAGGUCGGAGCUAUCCAAGGAGCAGUGAGAGGAAAAGGGAUAUCCACUGAAGGUUUGAUCCUGCAAUGCACUGAAUACACUGAACAUUUAAAGAAGACAGAGGAAUUUGAGAGCAUAAAGGUAUCUCCUGGCUACAGAC